ACUGAAAAAAUGUUGUCAUCUAUUGUUUUCACUUCCUCUUUCUAGCUGGUAGUGAACUACAAGAAUAUAAUUUAUAUUUUUUCUCUUUGUUUUUUACUUAUGCUUAUCCCAUUUUGCAGUUUAUUUUGGAACACCUUCUUGAAGAGAUUAACUGAUUCAUCUCAUGUUUGAUUUUUUGCUGUUAUUUGUUUUGCUCUAUAUAAAGGAUAAUAUUGGCCCAUGAUUAGGAUCCAAACAUGUGACCUUGCAAUGACAUAAUAGCAUAGGCUCGUCAGGUGGGGGUUACUUCCUGUACCUCCCCACUUCUAACCCCCACCCCCCAUUCCAUUUUUAAGAUUUGUUUUAUUAGUUUACUUUUUAUAUUAAUUUUCAAAUAUUUUAAUAAUGAAAUUUAUAUGUUUUGAUGUAUUAUUUUUAAAUAUAUUUUUAACGUAUAAAUGGGAGAGUGAGAGUUGCAGAGAGUGUUUGGAGGAGGGGCGUUUCAAAAGCUUUGGUGGGGGUGGGGGUGGGAAUACGAAGGAGAGGAAUUUGAGUCUGUGUGUUUUGACUGAGGCAGACUGUAAAAGAGUAGGUUAACUUUAGUAAAUAGGUGUAAAACGGUAAAAAUAAAAAAAACAUAAAGAUUAAUUUUGUAUUUAAAAAAAAAUCCAAAAAAAUUGGAGGGGUGGGGGUUGGAAUUGGGGAGGUACAGGGAGUAACUCCCUCGUCAGGUAGCUGUAGCCUGUUUUAUAGGCCCAAUGCUUUUGUCCUUCAUUUUUACAUGAAAGUUCAAAUCCAAACAGAAAUAAAAAAAAAAAAAUGAAACAGUCCAUUUGAAACUGAAGGUCUGGAUCAUUCCAUGAUUUUGAAAAGAGAGUUUGAUCCCUCUACCACCACACAAUUCUUUCUACACUUCCUCAAUUUUUUUUUUUAAUUCCAAAAUUAUCUUUUUUACUUUUAACAUUUAUCCUUCUUUACUUUUAUCUCAAAAUCCUAAUUACCCUUGCUCUUCCCUCUCAUUUUCACUCACAGCAGUCCCACCUCCCAGGGUCCAAUAUCAGCAC
rnacentral:lncRNA from 1 species